rnacentral:rRNA from 1 species
GAUCCUGGCUCAGGAUGAACGCUGGCGGCGUGCCUAAUACAUGCAAGUAGAACGCCGAAGGAGGAGCUUGCUCUUUCCGGAUGAGUUGCGAACGGGUGAGUAACGCGUAGGUAACCUGCCUGGUAGGCGGGGGGAGUAACUAUUGGAAACGGAAUAGCUAAUACCGCAUAACAGUAGAUAUUGCAUGAUAUCUGCUUGAAAGGGGGCAAUUGCUCCACUACCAGAUGGACCUGCGUUGUA